rnacentral:rRNA from 1 species
CGUAGGGCGCAAGCGUUAAUCGGAAUUACUGGGCGUAAAGCGUGCGCAGGCGGUUAUGUAAGACAGUUGUGAAAUCCCCGGGCUCAACCUGGGAACUGCAUCUGUGACUGCAUAGCUAGAGUACGGUAGAGGGGGAUGGAAUUCCGCGUGUAGCAGUGAAAUGCGUAGAUAUGCGGAGGAACACCGAUGGCGAAGGCAAUCCCCUGGACCUGUACUGACGCUCAUGCACGAAAGCGUGGGGAGCAAACAGGAUUAGAUACCCUGGUAGUCCACGCCCUAAACGAUGUCAACUGGUUGUUGGGUCUUCACUGACUCAGUAACGAAGCUAACGCGUGAAGUUGACCGCCUGGAGAGUACGGCCGCAAGGUUG